UACGUAGGGUGCAAGCGUUGUCCGGAAUUAUUGGGCGUAAAGAGCGUGUAGGCGGCUUUACAGGUCCGUUGUGAAAACUCGAGGCUCAACCUCGAGACGCCGGUGGAAACCGUAAAGCUAGAGUCCGGAAGAGGAGAGUGGAAUUCCUGGUGUAGCGGUGAAGUGCGCAGAUAUCAGGAGGAACACCCGUGGCGAAAGCGGCUCUCUGGGACAGUACUGACGCUGAGACGCGAAAGCGUGGGGAGCAAACAGG
rnacentral:rRNA from 1 species